UGUGUGGUGUGUGUGUGUGUGUGUGUGUGUGUAUAUAUGAAUCAUAUUUUGUUUCUUUGAAAAUAUUUUACUUUUCAACGUAUUGAAUAAUUAUUGAUAUAUCAUAGCUGUAUUCAUCUGCUUUAAAACAUACAUACGAUGUCGUGAUGUAGAAAACACUACAAAAACAAA